rnacentral:rRNA from 1 species
UACGGAGGGUGCGAGCGUUGUCCGGAAUCAUUGGGCGUAAAGGGCGCGUAGGUGGCCCGGUCAGUUCGUGGUGAAAGCGCGGGGCUCAACCCUGCGUCGGCCAUGAAUACUGCCGCGGCUGGAGCACUGUAGAGGCAGGCGGAAUUCCGGGUGUAGCGGUGGAAUGCGUAGAGAUCCGGAAGAACACCGGUGGCGAAGGCGGCCUGCUGGGCAGUUUAGCUGACACUGAGGCGCGACAGCGUGGGGAGCAACAGG